rnacentral:lncRNA from 1 species
UUCUUUGACUGGACUGCUAAUGCCCAAAACCAUGCUAUAGAAGCGAUUGGGAGGCAAUUACAGUCUAAAAACCUAUGCACACCCACUAUUUCUUCAGGCUCUUAUAGUACUACCAACACUUUGCAACAGGCCGCAGCUGAAAAUAUUCCAUACGAGCGCUAAACAGGUGUCUUCAGACCUAUUUUAUGUAAAUUCCUAGAUCUGUCUUCAGACCUGUCUUUAGACAUGUUAUUACUCAACAUAGCCUG